AACCAACAGCAGGCAAUUUGAUGGAAAAAAAACUGAGGCCACACAAACCAAUUGGGGAGGGUUUUUUGGGUUGCUUCUCACCUAAGAGACUAUCCUGUAAUGCACCAGGUAAGUUAUCUCCAAUAAGAAACUUAGUGGCCACACUGCAAGGGAUGGGGCCUGGGCACAAGGCUGGAGAAGCUCCUCUGGUUUGGUCACUUCUGGGAAGGGUUCUGCUCAGGUGAUUGACUGUGGGGGUGCUGAGCUAGACUUGAUGACUCCACAGGUAUCUUUCAAAGAUCCAGUUUUUGCGAGGUCCAUUCUUUCCUCUGAUGUCUUUCUCUCUCCCCCCUCUUAGCAGCCUUCAGCUCUUCUCCAAUAUUCCUUUGUCAGCUGUUGAGGAAUUUGGCCACUUUUUCCCUUCAAUUCUGAACACUUUGUCUAAACUUUAUGAAAUGACAGGCUAGAGGAAAUCCACACCAAGGUGCUGCUGCACAUUCCCAGUCAUAAAGUCAUAAACAGAAGUGUUCUUAGGGCUGUUUCAAUGUUUGUCCUGACAUUCCUUCUAGGGAGCUUUGGUCUACAUUUCAACCGACUUCCUAUUUCUUCCUGGGCUUCAGAACAUUCACUUCCAGGACUUUUCCUCCUUAAUGACUAUAAGAUGGUAAUGUCUCCUCAGCAAGACUGAUCCUUGAACAGGUGUUCCUCAUUAAACGAGCCUUACUUGUUCUUUCCAGUGGAAGGGUGGCACAGUCAUAGCUGCGUCUGCCUUCCACUAAACAAGCUUGCUUCUUUCUGCAGUAGGGGCUGAAAACGUGCUUUCUAGCUGCUAUGCCAAUGUGCUCUGGCUCCACAGCUGCCUAGUCUUGAGUUCAGGAAGCUCUGGGAUAUAGCAGUUGUGCUUAAACCUUUCCCACUGACAAAGAGCAUGUAUUUUCAUACUACAAUUAUUACUAAAUCUCCCCUGAAUUGAACUAUUUUGAAUUUUCAUUAAGCAGCAUUAACAAAUUGUUUCUUAAUUUGAGGGAUUUGUGUGAGCUUUAUAAAUAUAUAUAUAUAUAUAUACACAGACACACGCUUCAUAUUGUACUGUGUAUUUCCAGGUAUCCCACUGCAAGGCUUGUCAAGCAAAGAGGUUUAUUUUUCUCAUAUCAAACUAUCCAGUUACUUAUCAGAAGGUAAACAAAAACUUAAUUCUUGCUAUUUAAUGGCAAAAGAGUUGAAUUGUGUUCUACCAAGCAGGUUCUGUGGAGGUAUUUAAAACACGUGCUAAUUUUACACCUUUAAUUAGAAAAGCUGUUUUACUUUGUUUUCACUUAUCAAGGCUUUGCACCUGAGCUGCUGUGAGUGCCUGCGUUCCCAUCUACCCUGUCUUAAACAUGUAAACAAAUACAUGUUCCUCAACAUUUCCUGCCUGCUAAGUCUUAGCAUUUCCCAAAACAGGACCUAAGGGCAGCAUGGAUUGCCAAGGAACCACAGGGAAGGGAAAGAAAAUAAUCUUGAUAAGCUGCUGUUUAAUUGGUUAAUAAAUGAGAGCUAAAAUAUAAGACA
rnacentral:lncRNA from 1 species